UCGAGGUCAACUAGUCAUGAAUGACAUCAUUAAUAAAAACAAGAGAUAGGAAUGAUAUGCAACAUGCCACAAUUUGCUAUUUAAUUGCAAAAAGAUUAUACAAAUGCUGACAGACAGCUUAUAACAUGUUGAAACUUAAUAGUAACAAUACAACAAUAAUACUAACUCCAAUUUAAGUGCAAAGGAAAUAAAAUUUAUGCAUAUGUUGGCAAUUACAAGGUGAUAAUGACACUUGUGCAAACUCUAGAUUAUGAUUGGAUAGGAUUAGAAUUAAAUUAGAAUGAAUAUGUUUCGAUGACUUUUUCGAUGACUUUUUCAGGGGUUAAGUUUUAAAUGCAGCAUAACCAACAGAACAUGAUUCAGAUAUCGUCAAUCACAUAUCUGCAGUGCUUCUGUGAAUGGAGAGAAACAGACAAAAUGAUUAAAUUCAGUUUUCUUUUAUUUGUAUAGCACUUUUCACCAUAAAAUCAUUGCAAAGGAGCUUCACAAAAAAUGAAAGUUUCUACACUACAUUUAGGAGUAGUUUAUCAGUGUUGACUAUGUCAAUAUGAUGUCCAUAUGACAGAAAUGGACAGUAAAAAUCAUGCUGUUAGUUAAUGACGUGUAUUCAAACAGAAACAGUGUACAAAUGUUGUGAUAAAACUUAUAGGAAAUUUGGUAGUUUUGUAUGUUGGUUCAGGGUUGUCAUCAUCUGAGGUCCUCUGAGGGGUUGGCAUCCUCUCUUCUCCGGUGUUCGGUCAUCUUAAAUCUUCAUAAGAGGUUGGAUAUAGAGGUUGGAUAUGGAGGUUGCAAAUAGAGAAAAAUUAGCAUAGCUGCUGUUCAAACCAAUCAAAGAAUGGUGAUGUGCAUUCAAUCAGAUGGAUGUAACUGGACUACAAGGUUAUGAGAUACAUUACGUGAAUUCUUGGCUAAAGACAUGUGUCUUUAAUCUAGAUUUAAACAGAGAGAGUGUGUCUGAACCCUAAAUAUUACCAGGAAGUCUAUUCCAGAGUUUAGGAGCUAAAUGCGAUAAAGCUUCUUUAGUGGACUUUGCUAUCCUAGGUACUACCAAAAGUCCAGAGUUUCGCGACCUUAAGGAGUGUGAUGGAUUGUAGCUUGAUAGAAAACUGGUUAGGACUGAUUAAGUAAUAUUUUGUAACUGAUACAAAACUUAAAAGGUAGCCAGUGUAGAGACUGUAAGAUUGGGGUAAUAUUAUCAUAUUUUCUUUACCUGAUAAGUGCAAAUGGCUUGUUGUUACUCUAAAGCACAUUUUAUACUUGAUCCAACUUAAUUUACUUUUCUGUCUUGUCAUUGAACUAAAGUAAAUUAUUUACUUACUUUGGAAGUACAGCUAUGUUUUGUUGGUGUAAUUUAGACUAUUUGCUACAUAUCAAAUCAAUAAUUUUGCAUUCUGUGAAAACCACUGAUGUCAUCGAGGUUCAGUUUGUGAAUUUUCUGAUCGACGGCCACUUGUUUUCCCACAUCAAGACCAAAGCUGAUACACAAUUCCACAAUAUCGGAAAGAUGUUUUUAAUGACUAUUCACCACAGUUUGGAGAUGUAAUCUAGUCAAAGGACCACUACCCAUACCAGCCAAUUCCAAAGCAAUACAUACAUGUUUGAGCAGGAAAAACACACUUUGGAGAAGGUGAUGAACUCUGUAAGUACAGGAAAAACCAGACUUGCUUGGCAGAAAAUAAACUUUUUCUUUGUUUGUUUGUUUCUACAGAUGGACACAGAGACUUAAGAGUUAGUUCACUCAAAAAUGAAAAAUCUGUGAUUUACUCACCCUCAUGUUGUUCCAAACCCAUAAGACUUUCACAUAAGAGUCUACACCGGAUGCGAGCAGCGUGGUGCGGCGUGACACGACAAAAUACUAUGGAACCCAUUAUAAUCAGUGAUGCUGUUUACAUUGGAUGCGGCGCAACAUGACACGACAGAUCCUGACCGUAAACUGAUGCCUUGAUCUAUUUAUGAUGUACUGACAAAGUUCAAGUGAUUUGUAAUGGUCGCUUUAUCACAUCCAGUGUGGACAGCCUCAAGUUGUUCCGGCGUGGCGCGAAGCUACAACUGUCGCACCCGAUGUAAACGUGGUAUUUGGUUCAUUUUUGAAACACAGAUUAAGUUUUUUUAAUGAAACUUGAGAGAUUUCUGUCCAUCCAUAGAAAGUUUAGGUAAUGACAGUGGUGGACGAAGUACA